CGAACAGCGAAGAUGAAGAGAGUAGCCGCAGGCGAUCGCUCAGAAAACCGGUGGGUGAUGCGAACCGGUCGAUGACUGCGCGUGAAGUACACUUCGGAGCUAUCUGGGCGAAACGUGAAGUAGUCCAGGUCGGUCGCGCAGUUGCGCCGCCGUUAUGACAAGGAAGGUGGAGGGUCGCGCCCUCUUCCAGGGUGGUACCGCGAGGCUGUGUCUCGUCCCUGGG
rnacentral:ncRNA from 1 species